AGUGAACGCUGGCGGUAGGCCUAACACAUGCAAGUCGAACGGCAGCACAGUAAGAGCUUGCUCUUACGGGUGGCGAGUGGCGGACGGGUGAGGAAUACAUCGGAAUCUACUUUUUCGUGGGGGAUAACGUAGGGAAACUUACGCUAAUACCGCAUACGACCUACGGGUGAAAGCAGGGGAUCUUCGGACCUUGCGCGAUUGAAUGAGCCGAUGUCGGAUUAGCUAGUUGGCGGGGUAAAGGCCCACCAAGGCGACGAUCCGUAGCUGGUCUGAGAGGAUGAUCAGCCACACUGGAACUGAGACACGGUCCAGACUCCUACGGGAGGCAGCAGUGGGGAAUAUUGGACAAUGGGCGCAAGCCUGAUCCAGCCAUACCGCGUGGGUGAAGAAGGCCUUCGGGCUGUAAAGCCCUUUUGUUGGGAAAGAAAAGCAGCAGGUUAAUACCCCGCUGUUCUGACGGUACCCAAAGAAUAAGCACCGGCUAACUUCGUA
rnacentral:rRNA from 1 species